AAUGUCUUUAGCUUAUCAGCUACCCUGAUAGCCAGUUGCUGGCCAAAAUUGUGGGAGGAUUUGUCCACGAUGAAGGGGUUUUUCGUACACUGGUCACCUCCAAAUUCGCACACACGGUAAUGGUGUAGCGAUCCAAGAGGAAGAAUCUACAAUCUUUAAAAAACAAAAUCGAACAUAUUAAAAUGGAAAUUUACCCGUGGCCAUUUCCCACACAAAAUGAUUUCCAGCUUCCACAACCUUAUAUUUAAUGCAAUAAAAAAUAUUGUUCAUUCAAGAAAUAAACACCACUUUCACUACCAA